AAAACAUUUCUUUUUGAUUAAAAUUUAAAGUAUUCUCUGCCCAAUGAUUAAUUAAAUGGCUGCAGUAAUUUAACUGUACAAAGGUAGCAUAAUCAAUUGAUUUUUAAAUGAAUUCUAGAAUGAAAGAGGGAAUGAAAUAUAGAUUUUAUUAAUUAAAUUAUUUAAAUUUUAUUUUAAAGUUAAAAAGCUUUAAUGUUUUUAUGGGACGAGAAGACCCUAUAGAAUUUUAUAUUUAUAAAAUUUUUAAUAUUUAAUUUUUAUAAUUAUUUAUUUGGGAGGAAUUUUAAAUUUAAAAAACUUUAAAAUUUAAUUUACAAAUUUAAUUGAAAUAUAAAAUUUAAAUUUAAAUUAAAUUACCUUAGGGAUAACAGCGUAAUAUUUUUUUAAAGUUCAUAUUAAAAGAAAU
rnacentral:rRNA from 1 species